UUUCUCUGCCUUGGGUUCCCAGAGCUCUGUGCACAUUUCUCUAGAACUCCUGCUUGCCAUGUAACAUCCAUCUCCAAGUUCAUUUAUUGAGCAGACAGACAUCAGGUCUGGGUCUUUUUCACUCUGAAAUCCUCACUCGAUAAAUCCAGCUCCUGCCCCCAAUGCCCUCCACCACAGUAUUUAACUUCUUGACAAAAAGCCAGGCUUUUGGGCUCUGGGACAGAGUAAGUAAGCCACACCAACUGCCCUCAAGCAGCUUAUGAAAUUAAAAGUCAUAACCACUGCUCUAUAUUGUUUUUACAUAAACAAUAAUAGAUAACAUCUAUUGAGCACUCGUAGGCUCACUGUUUUAAGCCCUAUACACACAUUAUUUCAUUUAACCCUCCCAAUCAUUCUGUGAGGCACAUUACUAUCUCCAUUUUACAGAUGAGAAAACUGAGGCACUCGCUUCAUCAAGGUCACAAAACAGUAUCAGGACCCAGGAAGCCUGAUUCAGAAGUUUGCAUUCUUAACCACUAUGCUAUUAUGGACAGGGUGCUGCAGGGACAUAGAGCAGGAGUAUCUAGUCUUAGGGGCUGAGGGAAGGGUGACCCAGGGGCGGAGCUACCGGAGCAGAGCACUCUGACCAACAAGUAGAAGGUAGCCUGGCAGAUAAGAGAAGAGGCUUUCUAUGUAGAGGGGCUGGUGUCUGCAAAAACAAAGAAACAGGAAAUAGCAAGGUGUGGGCAAGUGCAGCCUGCAGUGCCAUCUUACUGCACCUUAAGGUCCCCACAGGAGACUCCGAUCAGAGAGAGCACUGCAAAUUGCGCUGGGAACUCAGCCUUUCCCAUGGGUAAUGGGAAGCCAGCAAAGGGUGGUAAGCAAGGUAGUGACACUGUGAGACUUGUGUUUUAAAGGGAUCACAAGAGUUACAGUUUGGAGAGUGGGUGCAGGCAGCCAGGAUUGGAAGUUGCUGGGAAGCCACUGCAAUCAUCUGGUGAGAAACACACCAACAAAAGUGGUAACAGAAAAAGAAGGAAGUUCGCGGGGCUAGGUCUCCUCUUAGAUGUGGGAAUUGCUAAGAUGUUGCCCGAGUUUUUCCCGCUAGGAUGGGGCGUGGCAGAGGAAGAAUGAGUCUGCAGGGGAAAAGGCCCUUCAAGUUCAAAUGCCAUGCGCUCCAGCAGAAGCGCAGCUGCCAAUGUGGCAGGAAGCGGGGUGGCCGAGUCUGGGGCUGCAGGGAGGGCUGCCCUUAAGUUGCAGGUCUGGGCGCGUCGCGGGUAGAGAGUGGAAGGGAGGAGAGACAGAAAGAAACAUCGAUGUGAGAGAGACACAUGGAUUGGUUGCACGCACACCUGACCUGGGGCCGGGGAUGGCGCCUGCAACCGAGGUACGUGUCCUUAACCUGAAUCGAACCCGGGACCCUUCAGUCCAAGGGCCAAUACUCUAUCCACUGAGCCAAACUGGCUAGGGCAAGGCGUUGACUCUUGGAUGAACACCAACCAGGUCUUCCACGUGGGGAGGGGACCUCCUCCCUUUCCUUGUCCCUGAAAAAAGGAGUCUCCGCACAGUUAUUUACAAAGAUUUAUUACAGCACAGGAGCGGUUCAGGUCUGGAGUCAGGGAAGAGGGGAAGGGGGCAGAGCAGCAGGAGGACAGAAGAACCUGGCUCCCCCCAACAUGCGCCCCCCCCCUCAAGGAUGUAUACUAGGUGGCAUUCCUGGCAUCAAAGCACAAACAAAA